rnacentral:piRNA from 1 species
ACCCAAGUCUGCCAGUCUCUGAG